rnacentral:rRNA from 1 species
GACGAACCGUGCGAACGUUGUUCGGAUUCACUGGGCUUAAAGGGCGCGUAGGCGGCGGCCCCAGUCGGGGGUGAAAUCCUCUCGCUUAACGAGAGAAUUGCCUCCGAUACUGGGUCGCUGGAGGGGGAUAGGGGUGCGCGGAACUUCCGGUGGAGCGGUGAAAUUCGUAGAUAUUCGCAAGAACACCAGUGGCGAAGGCGGCUCACUGGCCCGGUACUGACGCUGAGGUGCGAAAGCGUGGGGAGCAAACAGG